rnacentral:tRNA from 1 species
GAGCCGCUAGCUCAGUUGGCAGAGCACCGCCCUUUUAAGGCGGGUGUCCCGGGUUCGAGCCUCGGGCGGCUCACCA